rnacentral:rRNA from 1 species
AGACUUGAGUAUGUUUGAGGUAGGCGGGAUGCGUGGUGUAGCGGUGAAAUGCAUAGAUAUCACGCAGAACUCCGAUUGCGAAGGCAGCUUGCCAAGCCAUAACUGACACUGAAGCACGAAAGCGUGGGUAUCAAACAGGAUUAGAUACCCUGGUAGUCCACGCAGUAAACGAUGAUUACUAGGAGUUUGCGAUAAAAUGUAAGCUCUACAGCGAAAGCGUUAAGUAAUCCACCUGGGGAGUACGCCGGCAACGGUGAAACUCAAAGGAAUUGACGGGGGCCCGCACAAGCGGAGGAACAUGUGGUUUAAUUCGAUGAUACGCGAGGAACCUUACCCGGGUUUGAACGCAGUCCGACCGCCGAUGAAAGUCGGCUUCUAGCAAUAGCGGAUUGCGAGGUGCUGCAUGGUUGUCGUCAGCUCGUGCCGUGAGGUGUCGGCUUAAGUGCCAUAACGAGCGCAACCCUUGCCGUUAGUUACUAACAAGUUAUGUUGAGGACUCUAGCGGGACUGCCAGCGUAAGCUGUGAGGAAGGCGGGGAUGACGUCAAAUCAGCACGGCCCUUACAUCCGGGGCGACACACGUGUUACAAUGGCGUGGACAAAGAGCAGCCACUUGGCGACAAGGAGCUAAUCUCCAAACCACGUCUCAGUUCGGAUCGGAGUCUGCAACUCGACUCCGUGAAGCUGGAUUCGCUAGUAAUCGCGCAUCAGCCAUGGCGCGGUGAAUACGUUCCCGGGCCUUGUACACACCGCCCGUCAAGCCAUGGGAGCCGGNNNUACCUGAAGUCCGUAACCGUGAGGAUCGGCCUAGGGUAAAACUGGUGACUGGGGCUAAGUCGUAACAAGGUAACCA